AUGUCGUCAUAAAUUCAUUCUGAAUACGUAAGUGUAUUCACUUUCUUUUAUGUAAUAUGCUCCGGAUUAUUGUAAAGUAUUUCGCUUCCUUAAGUUGAGCAUUUAGCUUCUGAGAUCUCUGCAGACACUGAUAAUACGAAACACAAGGACGACGACGACGAUGACGACGGUGGUGGUGGGGAGAAGUGGCGACAGAAACAACGGUGAUGACGAUGACAACAACGAAGGCUGACACGGCGAAAGUGAAGGUGAAAGCGAAGGCGAUGACGAUGACAGCGACGAGGAAGGUAACAACGGAAACAACGACGACAACAAUAACAACAACAAACAACCCUCAUUAACAACAACGACAAUAGGAACAACAAAACGCAGUAGGCUCCUAUGCCAGGCUUGGGUAACCGUUUUCGAGACGCGGGCCGCAUGAAACAUGACACUACUAAGAAAAUUUCAAGUUUGUUCGGAACUUCAAAAACUCUCAGAUCCCCUCAACAUUUCUAAGAUUCUCCCACCACCGUCAUCCCUUAGCAAGGUAAGGCAGUUUAAUGACGUAAUCUCUAUUAUUGGUACACAACAUAUAUUAAUGGUACACAUGUACACUCUUCACAAGGUGGGGAAAAUCCACUUUGAAACUGUCGAACGAGAACAUCGGUCAAUCAAUAGUACAGACAAGAUACUAAUGUUGCCAUUGCAUGCUAACUACGCACCAGUUGUGUUGCUCCUGCCUGUUAAUAUAUGAAACAGCAGUAGCACAGGAGUAAGGUCGAACGCUUUACCUUAAAAGGUAAAACUGUGAAGGUUUAGAAUCAUUGAUGGGCGUAGGAUCUUUACUUUCUGCAAACAAAAGACUUUAAUGUUCCAGAGAAGCGCAUAAAUGAAAGGAAAAGAAAUCUUUAAAGGCAGUAAACAAAAACUAGAUCACA
rnacentral:lncRNA from 1 species